CUGCUGCCUCCCGUAGGAGUUUGGGCCGUGUCUCAGUCCCAAUGUGGCCGUCCACCCUCUCAGGCCGGCUACUGAUCGUCGCUUUGGUAGGCCGUUACCCUGCCAACUGGCUAAUCAGACGCGGGUCCAUCGUAUACCACCGGAGUUUUUCACACUGCGCCAUGCGGCACUGUGCGCUUAUGCGGUUUUAGCACCUAUUUCUAAGUGUUAUCCCCCUGUAUACGGCAGGUUACCCACGCGUUACUCACCCGUCCGCCACUAAG
rnacentral:rRNA from 1 species